GCCAAGCGUUCUUCGAUACUCCAGGUAUGAUUUCUUGCCUCGAUCCGGUCCAAUGUAGGCUACAUUUCGAUCUAAUAUCGCAAUUUACUAGCUCCAUCGAUCGAAGCGAGGGUUUGCCAGUUCUUUCCUUGCCGUCAAGCGUAUCCUGGUAUGGUUUCUUGCCUCGAAUCGGGAUAUAAUAUCGCAAUCUACUAGCUCGAUCAAUUGAAGCACGGUUUUCCCAAGCGCCAAAGCUGUUCUUUCCCCGCUGCCAAGCAUUCUUGGAUACUCCAG
rnacentral:lncRNA from 1 species